rnacentral:rRNA from 1 species
UGAGGAAUAUUGGUCAAUGGAGGCAACUCUGAACCAGCCAUGCCGCGUGCAGGAAGAAUGCCUUAUGGGUUGUAAACUGCUUUUAUUUGGGAAGAAACCUUCUUACGUGUAAGAAGCUGACGGUACCAAACGAAUAAGGACCGGCUAACUCCGUGCCAGCAGCCGCGGUAAUACGGAGGGUCCAAGCGUUAUCCGGAAUCAUUGGGUUUAAAGGGUCCGUAGGCGGGAUAAUAAGUCAGAGGUGAAAGCCCACAGCUCAACUGUGGAACUGCCUUUGAUACUGUUGUUCUUGAAUUCGGUCGAAGUGGGCGGAAUAAGUAGUGUAGCGGUGAAAUGCAUAGAUAUUACUUAGAACACCGAUAGUGAAGACAGCUCACUAGGCCUGGAUUGACGCUGAGGGACGAAAGCGUGGGGAGCGAACAGG